UUUGACCUCAAAUCAGGUAGGACUACCCGCUGAACUUAAGCAUAUCAAUAAGCGGAGGAAAAGAAACUAACAAGGAUUCCCCUAGUAACUGCGAGUGAAGAGGGAAAAGCUCAAAUUUAAAAUCUG
rnacentral:rRNA from 1 species